rnacentral:rRNA from 1 species
GCGAAGACAGCAUAAGGGCUCCACCUCUUCCCAUUCCGAACAGAGAAGUUAAACCUUAUCACGCCGAUGGUACUGCGAAAGCGGAAGAGUAGGUAAUCGCC